AUUGAACGCUGGCGGCAUGCCUUACACAUGCAAGUCGAACGGUAACAGCACUUCGGUGGCUGACGAGUGGCGAACGGGUGAGUAAUACAUCGGAACGUGCCCGAGAGUGGGGGAUAACGCAGCGAAAGCUGUGCUAAUACCGCAUACGAUCUACGGAUGAAAGCAGGGGACCGCAAGGCCUUGCGCUCAUGGAGCGGCCGAUGGCAGAUUAGGUAGUUGGUGGGAUAAAAGCUUACCAAGCCGACGAUCUGUAGCUGGUCUGAGAGGACGACCAGCCACACUGGGACUGAGACACGGCCCAGACUCCUACGGGAGGCAGCAGUGGGGAAUUUUGGACAAUGGGCGAAAGCCUGAUCCAGCCAUGCCGCGUGCAGGAUGAAGGCCUUCGGGUUGUAAACUGCUUUUGUACGGAACGAAAAGGUCUUUUCUAAUAAAGAAGGCUCAUGACGGUACCGUAAGAAUAAGCACCGGCUAACUACGUGCCAGCAGCCGCGGUAAUACGUAGGGUGCAAGCGUUAAUCGGAAUUACUGGGCGUAAAGCGUGCGCAGGCGGUUAUAUAAGACAGAUGUGAAAUCCCCGGGCUCAACCUGGGAACUGCAUUAGUGACUGUAUAGCUAGAGUGCGGCAGAGGGGGAUGGAAUUCCGCGUGUAGCAGUGAAAUGCGUAGAUAUGCGGGGGAACACCGAUGGCGAAGGCAAUCCCCUGGGCCUGCACUGACGCUCAUGCACGAAAGCGUGGGGAGCAAACAGGAUUAGAUACCCUGGUAGUCCACGCCCUAAACGAUGUCAACUGGUUGUUGGGAAUUUACUUUCUCAGUAACGAAGCUAACGCGUGAAGUUGACCGCCUGGGGAGUACGGCCGCAAGGUUAAAACUCAAAGGAAUUGACGGGGACCCGCACAAGCGGUGGAUGAUGUGGUUUAAUUCGAUGCAACGCGAAAAACCUUACCCACCUUUGACAUGUAUGGAAGAUCGCAGAGACGCGAUUGUGCUCGAAAGAGAGCCAUAACACAGGUGCUGCAUGGCUGUCGUCAGCUCGUGUCGUGAGAUG
rnacentral:rRNA from 1 species